rnacentral:rRNA from 1 species
GAUGAACGCUGGCGGCGUGCUUAACACAUGCAAGUCGAACGAUGAUGCCCAGCUUGCUGGGUGGAUUAGUGGCGAACGGGUGAGUAACACGUGAGUAACCUGCCCUUGACUCUGGGAUAAGCCUGGGAAACUGGGUCUAAUACCGGAUACGACCAUCUGGCGCAUGUCAUGGUGGUGGAAAGCUUUUGUGGUUUUGGAUGGACUCGCGGCCUAUCAGCUUGUUGGUGGGGUAAUGGCUUACCAGGGCGACGACGGGUAGCCGGCCGGAGAGGGGGACCGGCACACCGGGGACAGUACUACGGCAGGCAGCACUGGGGGAGAGAGGAGGGGGGAAGGAGGACUGAUGGGGCCAAGCCGGGUGCAGGAGGGCGGCGUGAGGGAUGGUGGACUGCGGUUGGAAGGCAAGUUUAAGGAGGAAGGGUACUUUGAUGACGGUACCUUACGAAGAAGCGCCGGCUAACUCCGUG